rnacentral:misc_RNA from 1 species
GGGGAAUCUAUAAAUAAAAAGUUCUCACGCACAUAAUAAUGCGUUUACGUGUAUCAAUCUAGAAACAGUAAAUUAUUUACAUGAGAAAAUUAUAUUAUUGGUGUGUAUAGUAGCGUACAAGGAUCCUCAAGCAUCGGACCAUUGAAUAUCCAUUUCUCCCACACUGUCAGGAUCAGACACUCCCAUGGCAUUCCAGACUGCUUUAGAGGCAUCCACAAUAUUGUUAGGGCAGGGAGGCUGGUAAUCAUGUUCAGAAUCACAUCCCAUGGUAGAGUCACAUUCAUCUACUACCUUUGCCUUGACGCUUUUUCCAUUUCCAUGGAUGAUAAUAUAGUUCAAGCACCUUCUCUUGUUGUCAAACCAUCCGGUGGAAAGUGCUACCACCAGCUCUUUAUCUGAAUGGUAUUGAUUGUCACACUCUGACCGGCCACCACCAUCACCACCAGGUGCAAAACUGUUCACUGUUAGCUUUGCUUUUGUGCGGCUGCUGACCGGUGGUGAACAUUUGUAAGUUGUGUAAAGCUUGCCGUCUACACAGCAAUCUGAGUCAUUUUCUUGGUUGCAUUGUCCUGGAGGAGGCUUUCUACCUCUUAUCUUGCCGCUGGGCUUGCAUGUCUGAGAUUCUGCACUGCUUAUGACAAUAAAGAGAAGACUAAUGAGAAGGAUGCUAGAACGAACUUGCUUCUUCAUUUUUUUUUCCACUUUUGCCCUGUUAAUCUUUCUAUUAUAUUGUUUUGUGAUGAUUUGGUGUGAAGAAGAUAAAUUGGAGUAGGAAUUUAUAUAGAGAGAAGGUACUGAGAGUAGCAGUUGUUUAAUACGAAAUUAGCCAAUUAGGACAAGUUUGUGAUCUUAUCGAUUCAAAUAAUCAUGCCAUUUACGUUAAUCUUAACAAAGUAUAUGAAAAGCAGUGUCAAAACCUGGUAUGCAUUUGUAAGUAUUGGGGGAAAGGUGUAGGUGAAGAAUUAAGACAAUGCAGAGUUCAAACUCAAAUAGAUGCAGCAUUUUAAAUGUCAUUGGGAAUUUAACCAUAAACUUACGAGCAUCAUGUGAAAGGAAUGGCUAGAGACAAAAUAGAGUUAAAAAUGAAUAUAAAAUGUUUAUAUCACCAUAUGAAAUUGCCAUCCACAGUUCUGUCUUUAUUGGAAAGUUUCCAAGCAUUAUGAAGAGAUAGAGGCAUGGAUCAUUUAUUUUGCACGUUAAACUACUCAUUGUGUUGAAUCAGUAGGAUUAUGAGCCAAAUAAGAAUAAGGAAAUUUUAUAUUUGAAAUCAAACAACAUCAGGCCGUGACAUUUAUGUUGAUAGUGUAGAUAGAAGCAGAACAGGGCAAAUUGGUUAAGACUUGGUCAUGCGAUAAAUACCCAGACUUUCAUCAAACACUUUCAACACAAAAACAAAUAGUGGAAAAUAAGCAGGCGAUGAAGACCUUUAACCGGACAACUUGUAUUUCCCUUGUAGCCAUUCUCCUUCUCGCAUUCUCUUUACGCGUUGAAGCCCAGCAGUGUCGUCCGAGCGGCAAAAUUAGAGGAAAGAAGCCUCCUCCUGGGCACUGCAACACAGAGAAUGAUUCAGAUUGUUGUGUGAAAGGAAAGCUGUACACAACUUACAAAUGUUCACCCCCAGCGAGUAGCCACACCAAAGCCUACCUCACUAUCAAUAGCUUUGAGAAAGGCGGUGAUGGCGGCGGCCCAUCUGCAUGCGACAACCACUACCACUCUGAUGACAUACCAAUCGUGGCUCUAUCAACAGGAUGGUUCAAGAAUAAGGGUAGAUGCUUCCACAAUAUAACCAUUACUGGCAAUGGGCGAAGUGUGGUGGCUAUGGUUGUGGAUGAGUGCGAUUCGACAAUGGGAUGUGAUGAGGAGCAUGAUUAUCAACCUCCAUGUUCCAACAACAUUGUUGACGCCUCCAAGGCUGUGUGGAAAGCCUUGGGCGUGCCUCACCUGGUCUGAUGUUUAGUUUCAUGCUACAUCAAAUAACACAAAGCUUAUAUGGUGGAAUCCCAAUUAUAUGCUUUUAUUUUACGUGUAUA